rnacentral:rRNA from 1 species
UACGGAGGGUGCAAGCGUUGUUCGGAAUUAUUGGGCGUAAAGGGCAAGUAGGUUGUCUAGUAAGUCUGCUGUGAAAUCCCCGAGCUUAACUCGGGAAGUGCGGCAGAUACUGCGAGACUAGAGUACUGGAGGGGUGCGUGGAAUUCCCGGUGUAGCGGUGAAAUGCGUAGAUAUUGGGAGGAACACCAGUGGCGAAGGCGGCUACCUGGACCGGUUCUGACGCUGAGGCGCGAAAGCGUGGGUAGCAAACAGG